GACGAACGCUGGCGGCGUGCUUAACACAUGCAAGUCGAACGAUGAUGCGGUGCUUGCACCGUUGAUUAGUGGCGAACGGGUGAGUAACACGUGAGUAACCUGCCCUCUUCUUUGGGAUAACGGUCUGAAAGGGCUGCUAAUACUGAAUAUUCACAUGUCUUCGCAUGGGGGUGUGUGGAAAGAGAUGCUUUUGGGUGUUUUUGGUGGGGGAUGGGCUCGCGGCCUAUCAGCUUGUUGGUGGGGUAGUGGCCUACCAAGGCUUUGACGGGUAACCGGCCUGAGAGGGUGACCGGUCACAUUGGGACUGAGAUACGGCCCAGACUCCUACGGGAGGCAGCAGUGGGGAAUUUUGCACAAUGGACGCAAGUCUGAUGCAGCGACGCCGCGUGAGGGAUGUAGGCCUUCGGGUUGUGAACCUCUUUCGCUCAUGGUCAAGCCGCAGCUUUGGGUUGUGGUGAGGGUAGUGGGUAAAGAAGCGCCGGCUAACUACGUGCCAGCAGCCGCGGUAAUACGUAGGGCGCGAGCGUUGUCCGGAAUUAUUGGGCGUAAAGGGCUUGUAGGCGGUUGGUCGCGUCUGCCGUGAAAUCCUCUGGCUUAACUGGGGGCGUGCGGUGGGUACGGGCUGGCUUGAGUGCGGUAGGGGAGACUGGAAUUCCUGGUGUAGCGGUGGAAUGCGCAGAUAUCAGGAGGAACACCGGUGGCGAAGGCGGGUCUCUGGGCCGUUACUGACGCUGAGGAGCGAAAGCGUGGGGAGCGAACAGG
rnacentral:rRNA from 1 species